rnacentral:rRNA from 1 species
ACAGAUGGGAGCUUGCUCCCUGAUGUUAGCGGCGGACGGGUGAGUAACACGUGGGUAACCUGCCUGUAAGACUGGGAUAACUCCGGGAAACCGGGGCUAAUACCGGAUGGUUGUUUGAACCGCAUGGUUCAAACAUAAAAGGUGGCUUCGGCUACCACUUACAGAUGGACCCGCGGCGCAUUAGCUAGUUGGUGAGGUAACGGCUCACCAAGGCAACGAUGCGUAGCCGACCUGAGAGGGUGAUCGGCCACACUGGGACUGAGACACGGCCCAGACUCCUACGGGAGGCAGCAGUAGGGAAUCUUCCGCAAUGGACGAAAGUCUGACGGAGCAACGCCGCGUGAGUGAUGAAGGUUUUCGGAUCGUAAAGCUCUGUUGUUAGGGAAGAACAAGUACCGUUCGAAUAGGGCGGUACCUUGACGGUACCUAACCAGAAAGCCACGGCUAACUACGUGCCAGCAGCCGCGGUAAUACGUAGGUGGCAAGCGUUGUCCGGAAUUAUUGGGCGUAAAGGGCUCGCAGGCGGUUUCUUAAGUCUGAUGUGAAAGCCCCCGGCUCAACCGGGGAGGGUCAUUGGAAACUGGGGAACUUGAGUGCAGAAGAGGAGAGUGGAAUUCCACGUGUAGCGGUGAAAUGCGUAGAGAUGUGGAGGAACACCAGUGGCGAAGGCGACUCUCUGGUCUGUAACUGACGCUGAGGAGCGAAAGCGUGGGGAGCGAACAGGAUUAGAUACCCUGGUAGUCCACGCCGUAAACGAUGAGUGCUAAGUGUUAGGGGGUUUCCGCCCCUUAGUGCUGCAGCUAACGCAUUAAGCACUCCGCCUGGGGAGUACGGUCGCAAGACUGAAACUCAAAGGAAUUGACGGGGGCCCGCACAA